rnacentral:rRNA from 1 species
GACGAACGCUGGCGGCGCGCUUAACACAUGCAAGUCGAGCGAAGCGGCGGACGGGUGAGUAACACGUGAGUAACCUGCCUUAGACAUUGGGAUAGCCUCGGGAAACCGGGAUUAAUACCAAAUGGUCUAAGAUGGACUCGCGUCCCAUUAGCUAGUUGGUGAGGUAACGGCCCACCAAGGCGACGACGGGUAGCCGGCCUGAGAGGGUGAGCGGCGACAUUUGAACUGAGAAACGGUCCAAACUCUACGGAAGGGAGCAGUGGCGAAUAUUGCACAAUGGAGGGAGCGCUGAUGCAUCGACGCUGCGUGAACGCAGAAGGCUUUCGAGUCGUAAAGUUCUUUUAUAUGGGAAGCGGUACCAUAAGAAAAAGCCCCGGCUAACUACGUGCCAGCAGCCGCGGUAAUUC